rnacentral:sRNA from 1 species
UAUCGCUUAAUUUCCGAACAGGAAAACGGGGGACCCAACGACCGGUGCCGAUGUGAGAGUCGGCGGAACGGUCCGGGGUGAAUCCCUUGCGGCUAGUGCUUGCCGCAAGGGUAGGGCGACUCUCACCGCCCGAAUCCGACAGCUAACCUCGUCAGCGUAGGGAGAGAGGAU